rnacentral:rRNA from 1 species
GACGAACGCUGGCGGCGUGCUUAACACAUGCAAGUCGAACGGUGAAGCGCCUUCCUUUUUGGUGGGUGUGGAUGAGUGGCGAACGGGUGAGUAACACGUGAGUAACAUGCCCCCUUCUUCUGGAUAACCGCAUGAAAGUGUGGCUAAUACGGGAUAUUCUGGGUCUGUCGCAUGAUGGGUCUGGGAAAGAUAUUGUUUCGGUGGGGGAUGGGCUCGCGGCCUAUCAGCUUGUUGGUGGGGUGAUGGCCUACCAAGGCGGUGACGGGUAGCCGGCCUGAGAGGGUGGACGGUCACACUGGGACUGAGACACGGCCCAGACUCCUACGGGAGGCAGCAGUGGGGAAUAGUGCACAAUGGGCGCAAGCCUGAUGCAGCGACGCCGCGUGAGGGAUGGAGGCCUUCGGGUUGUGAACCUCUUUCGCCAGUGAAGCAGGCCUGCCUCGUUUGUGGGUGGGUUGACGGUAGCUGGAUAAGAAGCGCCGGCUAACUACGUG